rfam:Enterospora canceri strain GB1 scaffold_45, whole genome shotgun sequence.
CGAUCAGGACCACUGGUACCGCCCUCGUCUGUUAAGGCGCGGGGCACAGCUACGUCCUUCUUGUAACAGCUGAAAGCCUCUAAGCUGGAAUAAGUACUUAACAAUACCAAUGUGUGAAGACGACUCACGCGGGGACGGGGGCUGUACGGCAUGAGCUUAUUGCGAGUGCUUCAGGCCGCCCGAUCCUCAACUUUUUUAUUUA